rnacentral:rRNA from 1 species
AGUAACGGCGAGUGAAGCGGCAAUAGCUCAAAUUUGAAAUCUGGCCUCUCGGGGUCCGAGUUGUAAUUUGUAGAGGAUGUUUUGGGUACCGCCCCGGUUUAAAUUUCUUGGAACAGAAUGUCAAAGAGGGUGAGAAUCCCGUCUUGGAUCGGUGGUAGGGCCUAUGUAAAACUCCUUCGACGAGUCGAGUUGUUUGGGAAUGCAGCUCAAAUUGGGUGGUAAAUUUCAUCUAAAGCUAAAUAUUGGCCAGAGACCGAUAGCGCACAAGUAGAGUGAUCGAAAGAUGAAAAGCACUUUGAAAAGAGAGUUAAACAGUAUGUGAAAUUGUUGAAAGGGAAGCGCUUGCAACCAGACUUGAGCGCGGCGGUUCCCCUCGCCUUUUGGCGAGGCUACUCCGUCGUGUCCAGGCCAACAUCGGUUCUGAGGGUCGGUUAAAGGCUCUGGGAAUGUACCUACCCACGGGUAGACUUAUAGACCAGGGUGUCAUGCGACCUCCCGGGACCGAGGAACGCGCUUCGGCUCGGAUGUUGGCGUAAU